rnacentral:rRNA from 1 species
CCUACGGGUGGCAGCAGUGGGGAAUAUUGGGCAAUGGGCGCAAGCCUGACCCAGCAACGCCGCGUGAAGGAAGACGGCUUUCGGGUUGUAAACUUCUUUUGACAGGGAAGAGUAGAAGACGGUACCUGUCGAAUAAGCCACGGCUAACUACGUGCCAGCAGCCGCGGUAAUACGUAGGCGGCAAGCGUUGUCCGGAAUUACUGGGUGUAAAGGGAGCGCAGGCGGGAAGCCAAGUCAGCUGUGAAACCUACGGGCUUAACUUGUAGACUGCAGUUGAAACUGGUUUUCUUGAGUGAAGUAGAGGUUGGCGGAAUUCCGGGUGUAGCGGUGAAAUGCGUAGAUAUUCGGAGGAACACCGGUGGCGAAGGCGGCCGACUGGGCUUUAACUGACGCUGAGGCUCGAAAGUGUGGGGAGCAAACAGGAUUAGAUACCCGUGUAGUC